rnacentral:lncRNA from 1 species
ACAGGGGCUCUCCUCUGUACCAUUUCUUACAACUGCAUGUGAAUGUUAAUGAUGGGAAACUAUAAUAGUUUAGAGAAGAGAAUUAAAGUGAUUUAGAGAACAUAACUGAUGGAGACAGAGCUAGAAUUUUAACCCUGGUCAAACUUAAAAAGUUAGAACACAGAUCAAUGGGAUCAAUUAAUUGUUUCAUUUACCUAUUUCCACAUCACCAUGAUUUCUACUUAUUGAGUACAUUAUAUGUUCUCAGUGGUGUUCCUUGAACAGACGGAUCUCAAAGCAGCAUUUGCUAUAAAUGGAUCUGAGAAUAAUCAUGUCAGAGACAAAGAUGAAUUUAUUUUUGUUUCUUUACACUUUGCCCCCAUCUUCAACCCACAUCACCAGAGCAGGAGGAGGUUGGGAGUAGCUGCCAAGCAAGUCAGUGCUACCACCUGUGACAGCUGUCUCCCUAAUCAUCCUCAUCAUACCAAACAAGGAAAACCUGGCUGUGGAGAGAAGCCCCCCUCUCCUGACUUUUCAGAAUCUCUUGACUCUUCAAACCCAGAGAAUCUUAACUAAUGGUCUCCAGAGUGAGGUGUGGCUGCUCAAAGGUAUGAAAACUAUUAUUAUUAGGGGCGCCCGGGUGGCUCAGUGGGUUACAA